CUGGAUCCCCCGUCCUGCAGAAACCCUUAGACAUGAUCUAACAGCAACCCCUGCUGCUCUCCGGGCAAACGUCUCAUUCUUUCCACUUUCUCGUUCUUUCCCACUGCUGCCAAUGCUCUCCUUGACCUGCGUUCCUGAUGUUUGUGCUUCCACCACGUGAUACAGACCCUUCAGAGAAGGAUGGAGAUUGAGAUCACUGUGGAAUGCCACUACCCAGAGACAGCAUACAGUGCUAAUCUGCCUCAUCCUCAAGCUGGCCCCUGUGAUGGUGAGGACGGCUUUGUUCCUGGAGAUGGACCUGGAGAUGUGAUCAAGGACCUGAGACAGUCCUAGUCCCUGUCUCCUGAUAGCCACGGGGCAGAAGACCAGAGGUGGGGGAGUCUACACCAGAGGCACCCCAGGCUGUGGAAGUCACCCUCAUUUGCUCUUGGAAGCCAUCUAUUAUCUGAAGUAGCAACAAGGUAACUGCUGGUUUUGAGGGGAAGGUAAUCAUAUCACCAUUAAAUUAUGAGAUUUCUCCAAACAUCAGGGAAAAUAAGAAUCUGAACGAAAAUGGCACUGUCUGAAAACAUUGUGUGACCAUCCCGAGGCAUUGUAAAAUACCCUUGCCUUGUGUAGUCGCUAUGCAGCAGAAAGAACUAGAAGGGUGGCCGGGGAAAUGGAAAAACAUACAAUUUCUGGAGUAAUAGGUGAAAGAAAAGUCACAAAAUUGGACUUCAUCCCACUGUGGAAUAAGAAUGUGAUCCAAUGCUCGUUUCUGAAUGGUAAGUAGAUUGUUUCGUGAUACAUAUACGGCCAUUGCUUUCUUUGUCAUCAACUAUGUUCAGAGACUUAACUCACAUCAGACGUAAAGAUUUAUAGUGAAUUCGGGGCACCGGGGUAUCUCAGUCCGUUAACUAUCUGACUUUCGAUUUCAGCUCAGGUCGUGAUGGCACAGUUCCUGGGUUCAAGCCCUGCAUUGGACUUUCUGCUAUCAAUGCCAAGCCUGCUUCUGUUCCUCUGUUUCCCUCUCUCUCU